rnacentral:rRNA from 1 species
GACGAACGCUGGCGGCGUGCUUAACACAUGCAAGUCGAACGAUGAUCCGGAGCUUGCUCCUGUGUUUAGUGGCGAACGGGUGAGUAACACGUGAGUAACCUGCCCCUUACUCUGGGAUAAGCGUUGGAAACGACGACUAAUACUUGAUAUGAUCACUGGCCGCAUGGUCUGGUGGGGGGAAGAUUUUGUGGUUGGGGAUGGACUCGCGGCUUAUCAGCUUGUUUGUGUGGGAAUGGCUCACCAAAGCGACGACGGGUAGCCGGCCUGAGAGGGUAAACGGCCACAAUGGGACUGAGGCACGGAGCAGACGCGUACGGGAGGCAACAGGGGGGAGUAUUGCACAAUGAGAGAAAGCCUGAUGCAGAAGCGCCGCGUGAGGGAUGACGGCCUGCGGGUUGUGAACCUCUGUAAGUUGAGAAGAAGCGAAAGUGACGGUACCUGAAGAAAAAGCACCGGCUAACUACGUG